rnacentral:rRNA from 1 species
UACGGGGGGAGCAAGCGUUGUUCGGAUUUAUUGGGUUUAAAGGGUGCGUAGGCGGCUUUGUAAGUCAGUGGUGAAAUAUGGCAGCUCAACUGUCAAGGUGCCAUUGAUACUGCGGAGCUUGAGUACAGAUGAGGUAGGCGGAAUUGACGGUGUAGCGGUGAAAUGCUUAGAUAUCGUCAAGAACACCUAUAGCGAAGGCAGCUUACUAGGCUGUAACUGACGCUGAGGCACGAAAGUGUGGGGAUCAAACAGG